rnacentral:rRNA from 1 species
CCGGCGAUGUCCGAAUGGGGAAACCCAGUGCAAUUCGUUGCACUAUCGUUAACUGAAUACAUAGGUUAACGAGGCGAACCGGGGGAACUGAAACAUCUAAGUACCCCGAGGAAAAGAAAUCAACCGAGAUUCCCCCAGUAGCGGCGAGCGAACGGGGAGCAGCCCAGAGUCUGAAUCAGCUUGUGUGUUAGUGGAACGGUCUGGAAAGUCCGACGGUACAGGGUGAUAGUCCCGUACACCAAAAUGCACAGGCUGUGAACUCGAAGAGUAGGGCGGGACACGUGGUAUCCUGUCUGAAUAUGGGGGGACCAUCCUCCAAGGCUAAAUACUCCUGACUGACCGAUAGUGAACCAGUACCGUGAGGGAAAGGCGAAAAGAACCCCGGCGAGGGGAGUGAAAAAGAACCUGAAACCGUGUACGUACAAGCAGUGGGAGCACCUUCGGGUGUGACUGCGUACCUUUUGUAUAAUGGGUCAGCGACUUAUAUUCUGUAGCAAGGUUAACCGAAUAGGGGAGCCGCAGGGAAACCGAGUCUUAACUGGGCGUUAAGUUGCAGGGUAUAGACCCGAAACCCGGUGAUCUAGCCAUGGGCAGGUUGAAGGUUGGGUAACACUAACUGGAGGACCGAACCGACUAAUGUUGAAAAAUUAGCGGAUGACUUGUGGCUGGGGGUGAAAGGCCAAUCAAACCGGGAGAUAGCUGGUUCUCCCCGAAAGCUAUUUAGGUAGCGCCUCGUGAAUUCAUCUUCGGGGGUAGAGCACUGUUUCGGCUAGGGGGUCAUCCCGACUUACCAACCCGAUGCAAACUACGAAUACCGAAGAAUGUUAUCACGGGAGACACACGGCGGGUGCUAACGUCCGUCGUGAAGAGGGAAACAACCCAGACCGCCAGCUAAGGUCCCAAAGUCAUGGUUAAGUGGGAAACGAUGUGGGAAGGCACAGACAGCCAGGAUGUUGGCUUAGAAGCAGCCAUCAUUUAAAGAAAGCGUAAUAGCUCACUGGUCGAGUCGGCCUGCGCGGAAGAUGUAACGGGGCUAAACCAUGCACCGAAGCUGCGGCAGCGACACUAUGUGUUGUUGGGUAGGGGAGCGUUCUGUAAGCCUGCGAAGGUGGCCUGUGAGGGUUGCUGGAGGUAUCAGAAGUGCGAAUGCUGACAUAAGUAACGAUAAAGCGGGUGAAAAGCCCGCUCGCCGGAAGACCAAGGGUUCCUGUCCAACGUUAAUCGGGGCAGGGUGAGUCGACCCCUAAGGCGAGGCCGAAAGGCGUAGUCGAUGGGAAACAGGUUAAUAUUCCUGUACUUGGUGUUACUGCGAAGGGGGGACGGAGAAGGCUAUGUUAGCCGGGCGACGGUUGUCCCGGUUUAAGCAUGUAGGCGGAGGUUCCAGGUAAAUCCGGUACCUUUUAACGCUGAGGUGUGAUGACGAGGCACUACGGUGCUGAAGUAACAAAUGCCCUGCUUCCAGGAAAAGCCUCUAAGCAUCAGGUAACAUUGAAUCGUACCCCAAACCGACACAGGUGGUCAGGUAGAGAAUACCAAGGCGCUUGAGAGAACUCGGGUGAAGGAACUAGGCAAAAUGGUGCCGUAACUUCGGGAGAAGGCACGCUGAUAUGUAGGUGAAGCCCCUGCGGGUGGAGCUGAAAUCAGUCGAAGAUACCAGCUGGCUGCAACUGUUUAUUAAAAACACAGCACUGUGCAAACACGAAAGUGGACGUAUACGGUGUGACGCCUGCCCGGUGCCGGAAGGUUAAUUGAUGGGGUUAUCCGUAAGGAGAAGCUCUUGAUCGAAGCCCCGGUAAACGGCGGCCGUAACUAUAACGGUCCUAAGGUAGCGAAAUUCCUUGUCGGGUAAGUUCCGACCUGCACGAAUGGCGUAAUGAUGGCCAGGCUGUCUCCACCCGAGACUCAGUGAAAUUGAACUCGCUGUGAAGAUGCAGUGUACCCGCGGCAAGACGGAAAGACCCCGUGAACCUUUACUAUAGCUUGACACUGAACAUUGAGCCUUGAUGUGUAGGAUAGGUGGGAGGCUUUGAAGCGUGGACGCCAGUCUGCGUGGAGCCAACCUUGAAAUACCACCCUUUAAUGUUUGAUGUUCUAACGUUGGCCCCUAAUCGGGGUUGCGGACAGUGUCUGGUGGGUAGUUUGACUGGGGCGGUCUCCUCCCAAAGAGUAACGGAGGAGCACGAAGGUUAGCUAAUCCUGGUCGGACAUCAGGAGGUUAGUGCAAUGGCAUAAGCUAGCUUGACUGCGAGCGUGACGGCGCGAGCAGGUGCGAAAGCAGGUCAUAGUGAUCCGGUGGUUCUGAAUGGAAGGGCCAUCGCUCAACGGAUAAAAGGUACUCCGGGGAUAACAGGCUGAUACCGCCCAAGAGUUCAUAUCGACGGCGGUGUUUGGCACCUCGAUGUCGGCUCAUCACAUCCUGGGGCUGAAGUAGGUCCCAAGGGUAUGGCUGUUCGCCAUUUAAAGUGGUACGCGAGCUGGGUUUAGAACGUCGUGAGACAGUUCGGUCCCUAUCUGCCGUGGGCGCUGGAGAAUUGAGGGGGGCUGCUCCUAGUACGAGAGGACCGGAGUGGACGCAUCACUGGUGUUCGGGUUGUCAUGCCAAUGGCACUGCCCGGUAGCUAAAUGCGGAAGAGAUAAGUGCUGAAAGCAUCUAAGCACGAAACUUGCCCCGAGAUGAGUUCUCCCUGAGACUUUAAGUCUCCUGAAGGAACGUUGAAGACGACGACGUUGAUAGGCCGGGUGUGUAAGCGCAGCGAUGCGUUGAGCUAACCGGUACUAAUGAACCGUGAGGCUUAACCUUACAACGCCGAAG